UACGGGGGGGGCAAGCGUUGUUCGGAAUUACUGGGCGUAAAGGGCUCGUAGGUGGCCAACUAAGUCAUACGUGAAAUCCCUCGGCUUAACCGGGGAACUGCGUCUGAUACUGGAUGGCUUGAGGUUGGGAGAGGGAUGCGGAAUUCCAGGUGUAGCGGUGAAAUGCGCAGAUAUGUGGAGGAACACCAAUGGCGAAGGCAGUCUUCUGGGCCAUUACUGACACUGAGGAACGAAAGCGUGGGGAGCGAACAGG
rnacentral:rRNA from 1 species